rnacentral:sRNA from 1 species
AUUUCGUUAAAAUGAAUGAAAAACAAUAUAUAAUUGGAAAUGACAACAGUAAAAAUGAGACACCGGAGCAAGCCAUCCCGACCACAGUCACCU